rnacentral:rRNA from 1 species
AGUGAACGCUGGCGGUAGGCCUAACACAUGCAAGUCGAACGGCAGCACAGUAAGAGCUUGCUCUUACGGGUGGCGAGUGGCGGACGGGUGAGGAAUACAUCGGAAUCUACUUUUUCGUGGGGGAUAACGUAGGGAAACUUACGCUAAUACCGCAUACGACCUACGGGUGAAAGCAGGGGAUCUUCGGACCUUGCGCGAUUGAAUGAGCCGAUGUCGGAUUAGCUAGUUGGCGGGGUAAAGGCCCACCAAGGCGACGAUCCGUAGCUGGUCUGAGAGGAUGAUCAGCCACACUGGAACUGAGACACGGUCCAGACUACUACGGGAGGCAGCAGUGGGGAAUAUUGGACAAUGGGCGCAAGCCUGAUCCAGCCAUACCGCGUGGGUGAAGAAGGCCUUCGGGUUGUAAAGCCCUUUUGUUGGGAAAGAAAAGCAGCAGGUUAAUACCCCGCUGUUCUGACGGUACCCAAAGAAUAGGCACCGGCUAACUUCGUG